AGCAGCCGCGGUAAUUCCAGCUCCAAUAGCGUAUAUUAAAGUUGUUGCAGUUAAAAAGCUCGUAGUUGAAUUUCGGGAUCGAUUUACUGGUCGUGCUUAUGGUACGUACUGGUUUUGUUGGUUCCUCCUUUCCGAAGAGCCGCGAUGUCAUUAAUUUGGUGUUGCGGGGAAUCGGGACUGUUACUUUGAAAAAAUUAGAGUGUUUAAAGCAGGCUAACGCUUGAAUACAUUAGCAUGGAAUAAUGAAAUAGGACGAUUGAUCCUAUUUUGUUGGUUUAUAGGAUCGACGUAAUGAUUAAUAGGGAUAGUUGGG
rnacentral:rRNA from 1 species